rnacentral:rRNA from 1 species
UACGGAGGGGGCGAGCGUUAUUCGGAAUCAUUGGGCGUAAAGGGCGCGUAGGCGGCCCCGUAAGUCUUGGGUGAAAGCCCUCGGCUCAACCGAGGAAUUGCGCUCCAAACUACUGUACUAGAGGAAGCUAGAGGUGAGCAGAACAGAUGGUGGAGCGGUGAAAUGCGUUGAUAUCAUCUGGAAUACCGGAGGCGAAGGCGGCUCACUGGGGCUUUUCUGACGCUGAGGAACGAAAGCCAGGGUAGCGAACGGG